GAUGAACGCUGGCGGCGUGCCUAAUACAUGCAAGUCGAGCGAACAGACGAGGAGCUUGCUCCUCUGACGUUAGCGGCGGACGGGUGAGUAACACGUGGAUAACCUACCUAUAAGACUGGGAUAACUUCGGGAAACCGUAGCUAAUACCGGAUAAUAUAUUGAACCGCAUGGUUCAAUAGUGAAAGACGGUUUUGCUGUCACUUAUAGAUGGAUCCGCGCCGCAUUAGCUAGUUGGUAAGGUAACGGCUUACCAAGGCGACGAUGCAUAGCCGACCUGAGAGGGUGAUCGGCCACACUGGAAAUGAGACACGUUCCAGACUCCUACGGGAGGCAGCAGUAGGGAAUCUUCCGCAAAGGGCGAAAGCCUGAAGGAGCAACGCCGCGUGAGUGAUGAAGGUCUUCGGAUCGUAAAACUCUGUUAUUAGGGAAGAACAAAUGUGUAAGUAACUAUGCACGUCUUGACGGUACCUAAUCAGAAGGCCACGGCUAACUACGUG
rnacentral:rRNA from 1 species